rnacentral:lncRNA from 1 species
GCCCGCUAGAUAUGUACACCUUACAAUCAUUCCAUACAACAAAUAUAGUAGACCUAUUGCAUAUAGUAUGAAAAAAAAAAGACCAAAACACAAAAAUUUAACUAUAACCACUGAACCAUGAAAAUGAGGUCAAGGUCACAUGACAUCUGCCCGCUAGACAUGUACACCUUACAAUCAUUCCAUAUAACAAAUAUAAUAGACCUAUUGCAUAUAGUAUGAAAAAAACAGACCAAAACACAAAAAUUUAACUAUAACCACUGAACCAUGAAAAUGAGGUCAAGGUCAGAUGACACCUGCCAGUUGGACAUGUACACCUUACAGUCCUUCCAUACACCGAAUAUACUAGCCCUAUUGCUUAUAGUAUCUGAGAUAUGAACUUGACCACCAAAACUUAACCUUGUUCACUGAUCCAUGAAAUGAGGUCGAGGUCAAGUGAAAACUGUCUGACAGACAUGAGGACCUUGCAAGGUACGCACAUAUCAAAUAUAGUUAUCCUAUUACUUAUAAUAAGAGAGAAUUCAACAUUACAAAAAAUUUGAACUUUUUUU